rnacentral:lncRNA from 1 species
GAAAAUUAUGGAAAAAAAAAACUGGCGGGGAGCUCAGAAUAAGACGGGAUAACCAGCUUUGAAGUGGAUAGUAUAUAUACCUUUUAUCCCCAGCAAAACUACGUUAACCUCCCUGGUUACAACAUUAAGCAAGAAAAAACGUCAAGUGCACCGCGCGGAUACUUUAAAUUGAGCUUCCCUGACACGUGAUUUACUAUGGUUACGCGAGGUAUAGCUUAUACGCGAUCGGAGAGGGUCUCACCUUGCCUUCCGGGCAAACUUGUAAAAAAUACAUGGGGUGCACCAGCAUCAGGCUCUCGGCUUGGGGAUCUCCUGCCUGCCUGCCUGCCGCCCCAAUCUCGGCACAUGAGACGUAUUCGAUUUCAAAAACAUUCACCAUUCCGGUCCGUUCGCUCCGUAUUUAUAUGUAUAUGAAUACUGUACGUGUCUCUCCCCGGAAAUUUUACUUGCAAAGGAUCAAUUCAAGAUUUCGAGAA